rnacentral:lncRNA from 1 species
GUUCCUCUGAAUGUUCUUAUCUACAAAUAGAACAAAUAAAGUCAGAAUAAUGUUCCAAAAAUAUGGAAGCAGCACAACCACCUAAUUAGAUCCAGGAUGUAUGCACACAUACUUCAUUGCCAAUGGUAGCUACUAUUCUCAGGAACAGAAUGUGACCCCUGAGGUCUAUAAGCAUACAAAAAAGGAAAGGCUUUAAUUUACUCGCAAUCAAACAAUACAGUCUAAACCUUAAGAUGGGUCACUGCCUCUUCCUUUUUUCCUAAUUCUUGUCUUCUGAUUUCUACCCAGCUCUGUCUUAGGGUGAAGUAACUAAGGUUAAGACUGACUUACCAGGCCGGGCGUGGUGGAUCAUGCCUAUAAUCCCAACACUUUGGGAGGCUGAGGCGGAUGGAUCACCUGAGGUGAGGAGUUCGAGACCAGCCUGACCAAUAUGAUAAAACCCCAUCUCUACUAAAAAUACAAAAUUAGGCUGGGCGUGGUGGCUCAUGCCUGUAAUUCCAGCACUUUGGGAGGCUGAGGCGGGUGGAUUGCCUGAGGUCAGGAGUUCAAGACCAGCCUGACCAACAUGGUAUUACCCUGUCUCUACUAAAACCACAAAAAUUAGUCGGGUGUGAUGGCGGGUGCCUGUAAUCUCAGCCACUCCGGAGUCUACGGCAGGAGAAUUGCUUGAACCUGAGAGGUAGAGGUUGCAGUGAGCCAAGAUUGCACCAUUGCACUCCAGCCGGAGCAACAAGAGCAAAAAUCCAUCUCAAAAAAAAAAAAAAAUUUAGCUGGGCGUGGUGACACAUGCCUGUAAUCCCAGCCACUCAGGAGGCUGAGGCAGAAGAAUCACUUGAACCCGGGAGACAGAGGUUGCAGUGAGCAAAGAUUGCACCAUUGCACUCCAGCCUGGGCAACAAGAGCGAAACUCCAUCUCAAAAAAAAAAAAAAGACUGAUUUACCAGAGCAUUAUUACCCAUCAAUAACCAAAGGAAAAAAAAAAAAAAAACAAUGCUACUCCAAGGCCUACAAAGAGAUUAUCUGGUCACAGUUCAGGAGGGUCUGUUGGAGACUUAUCAGACAACAGCACUGACUGGGGGGUGUUCGGAGCUGGAUGCACUCUGGCCACCUCGCUCAUUUUUCCCAGCCUGUGAAGUUAAGCUUGGUGAAGUUGACAAGAGGCGAUUAGGAAGAAGGCAGAAGGAGAAGUCGUGGCCUAAAGAUAGAGUAUUUGUUGACUCACGUUCCCACUACGACAAGAGUAGCAAAACUGAAGGCUGAGAGUCUUAUCGAGGAAGGCAGAAUGCUGAUACUGACAUGGAAGAUGCCUAGUACAGUAUGCAGAGACAGGCCUCUUUUUAUCUCUUUUCACUUCCUUUCUUCAUUAAAGACUCAAGGGGGGAAAAAAAGCUUAUUUUGCUUGCUGAGAUGAUACUUCUGUGUUUUACCUUUCCUGCUUCAAAAUUAAUGUUUUAGCUCUCGAGCUAAGACAACUGCUAAUCUCAUACUCAAAAAUGAAACCUAACCUUAGUUCUAGCCACUUGGCUUGAAAGAAACUUGAAUAAAACAGAUUUCGCAAGUUAAAAAAAAAAAGAAUUUAAUGAUCAGAAUGAUAGUGAGGGCCCCUUUGUGCAAGCUGCAUGCACUUGCAGUCUAGGAGGUCUCUCAUUUAAGAUGCAGACAUUGUCCUUAAGGAUAAUUUUGAUGGUUUUUAAACUCCCUGUAUAAUUGUACUCUCUAAAGUGUGCUUAUGAUUCAUAGUUUUUCUUUAUC